rnacentral:rRNA from 1 species
ACAACUUUCAACAAUGGAUCUCUUGGCUCUCGCAUCGAUGAAGAACACAGCAAAAUGUGAUAAGUAAUGUGAAUUGCAGAAUCCAGUGAAUCAUCGAAUCUUUGAACGCAUCUUGCGCUCCUUGGAAUUCCAAGGAGCAUGCCUGUUUGAGUGUCGUUAAA